GUGCUCUGUGUUUCUUCCUUUGGGUAAAGCUUUCUAGGCCGGUCCUAAUCUGGGAGCCUCUAAAACCCUGAGAUGUGGAGCGAGACAGGAACUGGGCAGGGGCCACCCUUUUCUCUUUGACCAUCCCCAACUGCUUUUUUUCUUGCUUUACUUUACUCACUUGUCUUCCACCUCAGCCUGCAGUGAGUGGCUUUUGUCAUCAGGCAUUAAUAAUGCAAAGUGCCUCGGAGCAGAAGAGUUAACUAUUUGUUUACUUAGCUAAAAACAUCUGGACUUUUCUCCAUAGCCAGGCUCCUGCUUGCUCUCACCUUGAGGGGCAUGGGCCUCCACCCUGCUGUGUGGGGUGAGGGGAUCCUUGGCCAGGGUGGUUUCCCCGCCGUCAUAGGAGGGAAGUCAGCGGGAGGCUCAGAAGGCCUUGGCUGUACAACCAGUGCCAUGCAGCGCAGUCAGGGUCCCAUGAACGACUUCCAUCAGCUCACCCGCCUCCAUCCCCAAGCAGAGUGUAGGCAAGGGCUGUGACUGCCUCAGGUAAUUGGGUGAUUUUGCUCCAGCAAGAGGAGAGGAAGCAUGUGAGUGCCACACUGAACCUUUCAGAAACAGCUGUGGGGUCAGGGGGGCUUGGGCCAGGCCAGGAUACACGGUGUUAAGCCUGCUCUCUCUUCAGUGCCCUGACUCGGCUUGCAAGCAGGACCUGCUGGCCUACCUGCAGCGCAUCGCCCUCUACUGCCACCAGCUCAACAUCUGCAGCAAGGUCAAGGCCGAGGUGCAGAAUCUCGGCGGGGAGCUCGUUGUCUCUGGGGUGGACAGCGCCAUGUCCCUGAUCCAGGCAGCCAAGAACUUGAUGAAUGCUGUGGUGCAGACAGUGAAAGCAUCCUACGUCGCCUCUACCAAAUACCAAAAGUCACAGGGUAUGGCUUCCCUCAACCUUCCUGCUGUGUCAUGGAAGAUGAAGGCACCAGAGAAAAAGCCCUUGGUGAAGAGAGAGAAACAGGAUGAGACACAGACCAAGAUUAAACGGGCAUCUCAGAAGAAGCACGUGAACCCGGUGCAGGCCCUCAGCGAGUUCAAAGCUAUGGACAGCAUCUAAGUCUGCCCAGGCCAGCCGCCCCCACCCCUCGGGGCUCCUGAAGAUCAGUCACUGUUCAUCACUGAAAUGAAUUUGCUAAAUACAACACUGAUACUAGAUUCCACAGGCAACUGGGCAGACUGUGAACCAGUCCAGGUGGUGAAUUUUCCAAGAACAUAGUUUAAGUUGAUUAAAAAUGCUUUUAGAAUGCAGGAGCCUACUUCUAGCUGUAUUUUUUUAUAUGCUUAAAUAAAAGUAAAAAUUCAUAACCAAAGAGAAUCCCACAUUAGCUUGUUAGUAAUGCUCUGACCAAGCCGAGAUGCCCAUUCUCUUAGUGAUGGCGGCGUUAGGGUUUGAGAGAAGGGAAUUUGACUCAACUUCAGUUGAGAGGGUGCAGUCCAGACAGCUUGACUGCUUUUAAAUGACCAAAGAUGACCUGUGGUAAGCAACCUGGGCAUCUUAGGAAGCAGUCCCUAGAGAAGGAAUGUUCCCAGAAAGGUCUUUGGAGGGACAAACUCAGUAAAACAUAAUGUAUCAUGAGGAAAACUGAUUACUCUCUUUAUGACGUGAAAUGAGAAUCUUAAUGCAUGGUUACGAUUACUAAUGUACACUGCUGCAGGACAUUAAUAAAGUUGCUUUUUUAGGCUACAGUGUCUUGAUGCCAUAAUCAGAACACACUUUUUUUCCUCUUCCAGCUGCAAAUGCAAAUUCAUCAUUGGGCUCACUUCUAAUAAUUGCAGUGUUUCCCGCCUUGGGCUUGCAGCAGAAAAACCUGACAAAAUAGUGUUUGCUAAGGCAGUAAUUUAGACUUUACCUUAUUUGUGAUUACUAUAGUGAUUGAUUACUAUAACUACAAGGCAUAAUUUACUAUCUUAUUUAAAUUUUGUGAAUUUGAAUGUUUUUUACACUAACUUUCCCCAACAAAGUCCACUGUGAAACCACGAC
rnacentral:sRNA from 1 species